rnacentral:rRNA from 1 species
CGGAGAUUAGCCCAUCACCGAAGCCUGCGUGUGCUUGCAUGCUAGGCAAUGUGGUGUUUAAGCUUGUGCCUGGGAUCGUGGCCUGCCCGAAGUCUAAAUCCGAUUGUGGCUUUGGAUUCAUUCCAUAGCGGGUGAAAGUCCCGUACGGGUUGGUCACACGAUCUUUAGAUGCGCUUGCUAUCGAGUCGGAUUGCUUGAGAAUGCAGUCCAAAGUGGGUGGUAAACUCCAUCCAAGGCUAAAUACUGGCACGAGUCCGAUAGUAGACAAGUACCGUGAGGGAAAGUUGAAAAGUACUCUGAAGAGAGAGUAAAUAGUACGUGAAGCCGAUUGCAGGGAAGCUGGUGGAGUCAAGCUUCGUGCUUGAGGAAUUGAUGCUGGGAGCAGGUGUGUGAAUUGGAUGUGAGGAUGGACAACUUGGAAUUAGUUGGGCGUGUUCUGAAUGCGCUUCAAGUCAUUCUGGGUAGAGUGUUAUGAGCUGUCCUCGCUUUCCUACUCUCAGUGUUUUAUUUCUCGCUGCACAGGCCACAGUCAAUAAGUGCAUGCAGUAUGAAGGUCUAACUGUGCCUUGGUGGGUGCAAGCUUACCGGGUGCAGGAUGGCAGGUGCUGUCUUCAGGCCUUGUGUCUGUUGAUAGUUAUCGCGGUCUCGACCGGCUGAUCUUCAUGCUGUAUUGUAUUUAUUGUGUAUUGCGGGUGCUGCUUCCUCGGAAGUAGUGCUGG